rnacentral:rRNA from 1 species
GUGUCAGCAGCCGCGGUAAUACGGAGGGUCCAAGCGUUAUCCGGAAUCAUUGGGUUUAAAGGGUGCGCAGGCGGUAAAGUAAGUCAGUGGUGAAAUCUCUCGGCUCAACCGAGAAACUGCCAUUGAUACUGCUAUACUUGAAUAUAGUUGAAGUAGGCGGAAUGUGACAUGUAGCGGUGAAAUGCUUAGAUAUGUCACAGAACACCGAUAGCGAAGGCAGCUUACUAAACUAAAAUUGACGCUCAUGCACGAAAGCGUGGGGAGCGAACAGGAUUAGAAACCCGCGUAGUCC